rnacentral:rRNA from 1 species
UCCAGACUCCUACGGGAGGCAGCAGUGGGGGAUAUUGCACAAUGGGGGAAACCCUGAUGCAGCGACGCCGCGUGGGUGAAGAAGCGCCUCGGCGCGUAAAGCCCUGUCAGCAGGGAAGAAAAUGACGGUACCUGACUAAGAAGCCCCGGCUAACUACGUGCCAGCAGCCGCGGUAAUACGUAGGGGGCAAGCGUUAUCCGGAUUUACUGGGUGUAAAGGGAGCGUAGGUGGCAUGGUAAGCCAGAAGUGAAAACCCAGGGCUCAACUCUGUGGAUUGCUUUUGGAACUAUCAAGCUAGAGUGCUGGAGGGGUAAGCGGAAUUCCUAGUGUAGCGGUGAAAUGCGUAGAUAUUAGGAGGAACACCAGUGGCGAAGGCGGCUUACUGGACGAUCACUGACGCUGAGGCUCGAAAGCGUGGGGAGCAAACAGGAUUAGAUACCCCAGUA